AACGAACGCUGGCGGCAUGCCUAACACAUGCAAGUCGAACGAGACCUUCGGGUCUAGUGGCGCACGGGUGCGUAACGCGUGGGAAUCUGCCCUUGGGUUCGGAAUAACAGUUAGAAAUGACUGCUAAUACCGGAUAAUGUCUUCGGACCAAAGAUUUAUCGCCCAGGGAUGAGCCCGCGUAGGAUUAGCUAGUUGGUGAGGUAAAGGCUCACCAAGGCGACGAUCCAUAGCUGGUCUGAGAGGAUGAUCAGCCACACUGGGACUGAGACACGGCCCAGACUCCUACGGGAGGCAGCAGUGGGGAAUAUUGGACAAUGGGGGCAACCCUGAUCCAGCCAUGCCGCGUGAGUGAAGAAGGCCUUAGGGUUGUAAAGCUCUUUCGGCGGGGACGAUGAUGACGGUACCGGGAGAAUAAGCCCCGGCUAACUCCGUGCCAGCAGCCGCGGUAAU
rnacentral:rRNA from 1 species